GGAGCUGUAGCUCAGUAGUAGAGCAUCUGCCUUGCAUGCAGAAAGUCCCAGAUACAACCUCUAGCAUGUCCA